rnacentral:tRNA from 1 species
GGAUGCAGGUGCUGGCUCCGAUGACGGGUCUGCCACUGGCGCGCGUUUCCAACCGUUCACUGGGCCACUGGACUCAAGAACCGUGGUCGCUGCAAAGAUGCGGGUUCGAAUCCCGUCGCGUCCACCA